GCAGGGUUGUCCCGCGGCUAUGACAACCCCCCCCCCGCGGGGCGGGGCGGGGCGGACGGGGGUCAAGCAUUGGCCCCUCCCUCAGACGGGGGAGGGGGGACAGGAGGCUGAAGAAGGAGCAAGGAAUUCAGGACCGAAAACCUAUUACACACUCAGUCUAUUUUUUGGCUGGUAUUAGCUACUCUUGUGCUACCAUUUGGCAUUCCAUGAAAAGGAUCUCUUACAUCUGAGCUGAAUGCUGUAAUUGUAUGCUGAAUGCUAUAAUUGUAUGCAAUAAAUGUGUUGGGUCAUCAGGAAUCAUAAACAAGAGAGCUUUUAUUUUAAAAAAGAUGUCACUUUCCAGAACAUUCACCUGCUUCCUACUUGAUUAUCAGUGAUCUGCCAUGGAGUAGCUGCUGUGACUGAUUGUAUAACCUACUGAAGACAACCAUCGUAGCAGUUGAAUGUGCUCCUGUGGCUGUAUCUGCACACGAUCCUGGCUCCUCAGGGUUGCCUGGCCAGGAUGAGAGCACUUUCAGAACUGCAGAAGGGGCUGCACUGCUCAUCUGUAAGCAGAUAUCAUCUUGUGUGUGAACCUUGUGGCUGGAGGGAUGGGUGACUGAUGCCCUUAUUACUGUGUCUGUGUGUAUUGUUUGUUUAUUUUACAGCUUCCAAAGUGCACUGGCCUCUGCUCCAGUGGCAGCAGGGGUCAAUGCCUUUAUUAGGCUGUAGCUAGAGGAGAAUGAUAUCUACCCCUAGGGUACUGCUAGAAGUCAUCUCAUUUGAUAGGACCUGAAGCAAUCCUUAGUUAAGGAGAGAUGAAGUCCCCUAGAAAUAAUCCAGCUGACAUGGGUAAACAGCUCUAUAAAGGUCUAGUGCAUGAGAUGAAAGGCCUGGCCAACAUCAGUCCCCCAGAGUCCGAUGAUUCCUAUGUCAGCCCCAGAGACAGGCAGUGGAGGGAGCUUGGUGCCAACCCUGUCCCUUUUUCAGCCUUCACUCUUACCGUACGGUUGCUGAGCAGUCUUGCAGAAACUACCAAAGACUUGAGCUUUGCUCCUUGUGCUUCUGUAACUUCUUUGUAGGCCAGAUCCCCAGCUGGUGUAAGUCAGUAUACUUCCACUACAUCAAUUCCUCCAAAGAGAUCAAAGCAUACCAGACAUAAUCUGUUCUGCCAUUUCUUGCCUCUUUGUCAGAUUCAAAUCAGUUCAUUUUGCAGUGAAGGAAAGCAUGGACUGCUGUUUGCAUCAGCCUCAAGGCUGGGGCUGGUGAUGCAAGAGAACACUUUUCCUAUAUCAGUUUUCAUUUGCUGGAGUCACAUUGGCUUAGUCAGCAUUGCAUCUGCACUGCCUCCGAAAGGAGAAAAACAAUGAAAACAUCAUUGGUUUAAGAUUAGAGUGCACACAGCAAAAGCCAGUGCUUCACCUUUUAACUUUACCGUUUACAUACUUUUACUGACUCAACUCCACCAGCUGGUG